rnacentral:rRNA from 1 species
CCCUUAGAUGUUCUGGGCCGCACGCGCGCUACACUGAUGCAUUCAACGAGCCUAUUCUUGACCGACAGGUCCGGGUAAUCUUUGAAUCUGCAUCGUGACGGGGAUAGAUUAUUGCAAUUAUUAAUCUUCAACGAGGAAUGCCUAGUAGGCGCAAGUCAUCAGCUUGCGUCGAUUACGUCCCUGCCCUUUGUACACACCGCCCGUCGCUCCUACCGAUUGGGUGUGCUGGUGAAAUGUUCGGAUCGGCCGUUUGUCGCGGUUUCCGCGUCAUGUGGCUGAGAAGUUCAUUAAACCCUCCCACCUAGAGGAAGGAGAAGUCGUAACA